rnacentral:rRNA from 1 species
UACGUACCGUACGAACGUUAUUCGGAAUUACUGGGCUUAAAGGGUUUGUAGGCGGCCUUGUAAGUCAGGUGUGAAAUCCCUCGGCUCAACCGAGGAAUAGCGCUUGAUACUGCAAGGCUUGAGGGAGACAGGGGUAAGCGGAACUGAUGGUGGAGCGGUGAAAUGCGUUGAUAUCAUCGGGAACACCGGUGGCGAAAGCGGCUUACUGGGUCUCUUCUGACGCUGAGGAACGAAAGCUAGGGUAGCGAACGGG